GGGAAAAAGAGAGGAGGGGGAUACCGGAGAGGGAGGGCCGAGGUCGGCUCCGAGACCCACCGGGAAGAAGGGGGAAGGGAUCGAGUCCGGAGAGGCUGCGGCGCGUGGCCUGAGGCGGAGAGCUGGACUCCGGGGGUCUGGGCCAGGACAGGCGCCGGUCUGACCCGCCUUGCUCGCAAAUGCAGGCCGGGCUUCCUCUUCCCUUGGCGGGUGGUGGGGGAGGGGAGGGGGCUUGAGGCCGGAGGGAAAGGUGGUCCCAAUCCUUCAGUUCCAGAGAGCUACAAAGCUGAUCCGGGCCUCGUUAAGGGACGUCUGGGUGCCCCCUUAAAGACCUGGGGUGCCACCACCACCACAACCCCAAGGCACACCGGGUCUGGCUCGGUGUACCGCAUUCCCCUUCUUCCCCUGGAGCAUCUGGCGGAGCUGGGGGAAAGGGUAAGGGGCUGACGAACGCUACGGUUCCCUGGGGACUCAGCAUCUGGAGCGGAGCAGGCAAAGGCUCAGCUAGAACCGGGAUCUGGGGCUGUUGUACUUGGAUAGCCGGAGUCAAUUUGGCCUAUCUGAAAACCCAGGCCUUGAGGCUGCUGCUGGAGGCGUCAAGUUGAGCAGGGCUGGAAAACGAAGCGGAGCGGGGCGUGCUGCCUUGUCCCUCCUCCCGGAGCCAAGGCGCCGGCCUGGGCGGAUCUGAUGGCGCGGUUACCGACUGAAGUGAAGCCCGGAACCUGAAGGGCUGGGAGGUCGGGGAGAAAGCAGAGCAGCACCGAAGGCCAGAAAUUAAAUUCACAGCCCGGGACCCCGACGACCCAAGGACUAGGGAAAAAGUCACUUCCCAUUCCAGCUCGAUCAAUCUUCCUUCCAUGCGAUUGAUUAAUAGAAAACGAAGUGAAAAGACCGUGGUCGCUGUGCGUCUGGGAAGGAAGCGAAGGGCAGAGUGGCCAUUGUUGAAGCAAUUAGCGAGAGACAAUAACCACCGAGAUGCGUUUAAUUCGAUUCCGUGCACGCUGCAAUCCCCGCCCGGGCUCUGCGAUAUGCAGGCCUGGGAUAACCCGGAGGGUCUGGUUGUGAAGCUGAAAUACAGAGAAGAGAGCAAAAUCAAACCGCGGUGGAAAACGAAGCAAGCAGCGGGGCCAUGCUGGCUGAGGCUUCCUGCUCCUCAACGGAGACACCUUUCCAAUUAAAACAGUAGACAUGGGAACUUUAGUGAUGUAAAGAAAGAAGGUUGCUAAAAGUCACUGGCCAGGAGAAGAAGCUGGCUGUAGAAGCCUGGGGGUGGGGGGACCCAUGGGAAUUUAAAUGAAAAGGCUAUGCACCCGCAGAUCUCCCGGCUCCCACGCCCACCCGCCCCGGGUCUGGGGUCCAUUUUCCAUGCGAAAUGAGCCACUGUUUUGGAUAUGUGUUUUGAUUUUUUUGUUUGUUUGUUUACUCAUCUAUCACAGUUUAAAACACCGGAGGAAAGCUGCCCAAGCCAGGAGGAGCGAGGUAACGACGUGGAAACUACCAGAGAAGAGAAGCGCUGGGCAAUAACCCACCUCGCACUCCGCCCCCGCCCCCCCCCCAGCCCAGCCCUCUCCUUCAUCUUCGGAGGAUUCUUGCCCUCCCUCAGCCAAUACUAUUUUCCCCGCUUGAGAAAACCCCUGAUUAUAAGAGAUUUUUUAAAGGGGGGGGUAGAUAGGGGUGAAGCGGAAAGGGGCAGGCGGACAGGGAGAAGACCGGGGAUUUCUGGUUUCGAAUUGAACAAAGCACAUGCGUUGGAGGUGGCGACUAGGGAGCUUAAGCCUAGGGCAGGAAGAGAAAGAACUAUUCCAGAAAGAAGAGAGUGUGCACUUUCUAGCUAUCCGUGGAGGGACCGUGGGAAAGCGGAAGGGAUGAGGGUGACCCACUGGGAAGUGCCGGCUCCAGGAGCCGCUUCCCUGCCCUUUGGCAUCAAUCUUUUUCAGUAGGAUAUUCGCUGCCUCUAGACCUGGCCUGCUCCCAGUGAAGCCCCAGGCCCCACCUUUGAAGCACCUAGAAUUGCUUACGGCAUCCAAGAAAAUCCCGAGCCAGGUGGUUGGGGUUCGACCACUUAAACAAACACACAGGCCCCUUCAUCUUAAAGAAAAUGCAGUGAAACUGAGGAGAGCCAGCCUUGCUGACCUCCCAGGUUCAACCUGGCCUCUAGGUUCCCCGGGCUAGCUAAGGCGCUCCCCAGUCCCCAGUGCCUGCCUGCAUCAUCAGCCUACUCUCUUCUGAAGCUUUGGUGGUUUCAAAAGGAGAAAGUGGGCUUUAUCUUGUCGAUGUGGGACUUUUGUGUCUCCAGAUUAGCUUAAGGAAUUGGAAUACUGAUUGUGGAGAGACAAUCCACCAUAGUCGAGGGAUGAGGGGGCUUCACAGCAAAGGUAGAAAAGCGGGAGGAGAGCUGCUUCAGAUCCUGGGACAAGCAGAGGCCGCUUUGGUUUUUGUUUUUGUUUUUGUUUUUUUUUAAAUAGGAAUCAUCAUUAGUGUCAUUGGAUGCGAUGGUGAGCCUAUAGAAAAGAUCGUGGUUAUGCCUGGCUCAGACUUCCCGGCAUCAUGGGCUCUUUGCCCAGAGCUACUAUUUGCCGGCCUGCCGGCCUGCCUGGAACUCUCCGGUCCAGGUCCGGGCUUACUGAGGCACCCUCCACAGCCUGCGACCCCAGCAAACUGAGCUCCAGCCAUUUGUUACAUAAAAUAAAGCAACCACCAAGUGCUUACCCAUCACUAGCUCCUGGCAGACCCCCUCCUCUGGACAAACCCGGACCUCUGAGAGCACCUGGCAACCGGCCUGUCAUCAUCCAAGUUAACUGUACACGCAUUCAACAUCACCCUAGCCCCUAUCGACCACCAAAGGAAGCAAAGGGUGCUCUCUCCCCCACAGUUAAUGAACCUCCUGGGUUAUUGGGGUUAUUCCAACCGUUGAUGGGGAAGGGUGAUCAGAACUAUUGUAUUGGUACUCAAAGGCAUACCUGGAAAGCAACACAUAUUCAAGUGUGAAAUGGCUUAGCCAUCAAGAAUAAAACAACCCUCGGGGUAGCCAAGAGAGAGUCAAAAUAGCCCUGGGCUAAAGAACAGAAGGUUUCCCCUUCGGUCCUACUCACGGGGUCAGAAUUCUUAUUUCUCUAUCAAAGUCUUCACUGCAGGGCACACAAAUUGUCAAAAAAGAUGGAAGCCUUAGGACUUCCAUACACCUGCAACUUCCUUGGCCUUUCUGUGUGGCUUUGGGCAAUUGGCAAACACACAGAAGGACACUACCUGUCCUAAGGCUUGCACCCAUCUUUUCACUCCACCUAUGCCUGAACCCCACUACACAUUUUCUGCAAGAAGGCAGAGUCAACAUAGGAAAUAAAGGAAAAUGCAGAUCGCCUGCCCUGGGCUUUGGAUUGUAACAGAAGAGGACUAGAGAAUCUGGGGCUGCUAGCAAAGACCAAUUAUGUAGAAGGUGAUGUCAACCACUGCCAUGCAUGCUAUUCUCUAUGCCCUGUUGUGUCCCAGAGCCAGAAACCUUAGGCCGCAUUGAGCCACUGGCUUGAACCUUGAAGCUGGGCCUUCUGCUAAAUCCUAAUGCUAAAUCAAUCAGUAAACAGAGUUCAUUGAUGCCUGCAUGAGUCUUGUUCUAGCAGGACAGAAAUUACAUCUAGACCUAGUGCAAACUGAUAGAGAACAUUUUUGUUCUCAUUUUAUAGGAAGCCCUCUUCCCCACAUAUAGCGAUUUGGGCAGCCAAGCUUCUUGUUUAGAAAUAACCUGCCGCUGGGGGGACAGCCCACUACCACCACUGCGGAAGAGUGAGGGGCUGCACAAAGGGUACCUUCAUUAUUUGUCCCCCUUCAGAAUUCUGGGUCUCUCAAACUGUGAUUUCAGGGUCCUGGUGUGGUCUAUAAGGGGAGGAGAUGUCAAAAAAUAUGGAACUACACCUACAGCAAGGGGUCCAGCGGGCACAGCUACUUCAUUCCUAUUCUGGAUGGAAUCACACCUGUCAGUUUGUUACCCUGCUCUAUUAAAGAAAUCGCCUUUAAAAAAAAUAAUAAAGCAACGGCUCUGCUCAUAAAAAAAAAAAAAAAAAAAAAAAAAAAA
rnacentral:lncRNA from 1 species